rnacentral:rRNA from 1 species
GAACGGGGAGGAGCCCAGAGCCUGAAUCAGCAUGUGUGUUAGUGGAAGCGUCUGGAAAGGCGCGCGAUACAGGGUGACAGCCCCGUACACAAAAGCGCAUGUGCUGUGAGCUCGAUGAGUAGGGCGGGACACGUGGUAUCCUGUCUGAAUAUGGGGGGACCAUCCUCCAAGGCUAAAUACUCCUGACUGACCGAUAGUGAACCAGUACCGUGAGGGAAAGGCGAAAAGAACCCCGGCGAGGGGAGUGAAAAAGAACCUGAAACCGUGUACGUACAAGCAGUGGGAGCACCCUUUGGGGUGUGACUGCGUACCUUUUGUAUAAUGGGUCAGCGACUUAUAUUCUGUAGCAAGGUUAACCGAAUAGGGGAGCCGUAGGGAAACCGAGUCUUAACCGGGCGUUAAGUUGCAGGGUAUAGACCCGAAACCCGGUGAUCUAGCCAUGGGCAGGUUGAAGGUUGGGUAACACUAACUGGAGGACCGAACCGACUAAUGUUGAAAAAUUAGCGGAUGACCUGUGGCUGGGGGUGAAAGGCCAAUCAAACCGGGAGAUAGCUGGUUCUCCCCGAAAGCUAUUUAGGUAGCGCCUCGUGAAUUCAUCUCCGGGGGUAGAGCACUGUUUCGGCUAGGGGGCCAUCCCGGCUUACCAACCCGAUGCAAACUGCGAAUACCGGAGAAUGUUAUCACGGGAGACACACGGCGGGUGCUAACGUCCGUCGUGAAGAGGGAAACAACCCAGACCGCCAGCUAAGGUCCCAAAGUCAUGGUUAAGUGGGAAACGAUGUGGGAAGGCCCAGACAGCCAGGAUGUUGGCUUAGAAGCAGCCAUCAUUUAAAGAAAGCGUAAUAGCUCACUGGUCGAGUCGGCCUGCGCGGAAGAUGUAACGGGGCUAAACCAU